AUCACAGGUCCGAAUCCUCAAUACUACAUUUUGCAUUUCUAAUUUUAAAUUUUGAAUUUCAAAAAUGAAAAGGGAGGGGUAACCUGAUUCCUCCUUUCCUUUCAUCAGUCUUCUGUUUUCGAAAACCCUAACCAUUUUCCUUCGCCUCUUCACUCUUCUACUGCGCCUCCUCCUCUCUGCAACCCGCUGUUCCGCUUCCUCGGCCCCUCCUCUCCUCUUCACUCUUCUGCUGCGUCUUCCGCCUCUAGAAUCUAGCCUAUUCCCGUCUUCUGCAGCGGUUCCGCAACCGCAAAGCGCCUGGAGUCUGCCCCAACCUCUUAUAUUCUUAUUCUAUUCAAUGUAUGUCUGUACGUUAAUGUACAAGAUCAGGAAGAAAUGACGAGCUUCGAAAAGAAUUAGAAUUUCAGAUUGAAAGGGAAAAACAUGGGAAAGGGAAACAAAGACAUAUUAAGGGUGCGUCUUCGUCUGGAGAAGGUCGUAACAUCAUAGGGCAGGAGCGUCAUUCUCCACCGUCACCAGAUUCAUCACGGACAAUGAUUGAAAAUCUCAAUUGAAAGGAUGACCGUGGAAUGAAUAUCCAUUGGUGGAGACACUACAAAAAACAACUGAAUUAGCGAUGAAAAAUAGCGAGGGGAAGCGUUCGUCGCCCAUGGCGACGGCAAGGCGAGAGAAAAGUUGAUCGCGAAAGCAUAAAGAAUUAUGGCGACGGGAAAGUUCGUCGCCAGUAAGUCGCCCACUGCCAUUUUUUUUUUUAAAUUUUACUACAUGGCGACGGACUAUCCUGUCGGCAUUUCGUCGCCAAGGACGACGAAAUUUUUUUAUUUUUAUUUUGAUGCAUGGCGACGGGUUCUGUUUGUCGCCACUUAGUCGCCAUAUUUGGUUUUAUUUUUGGUUUUAUUUUUUUUUAAAUGUAGGCGACAGUUCUGUUGGUAGCCCUUUGGUCGCCAUGUUUUUGAAUUUGAAUUUAAAAGUGGCGAUGGGUUUGUAAUCGUCGUGUUGUCGCCAUGUGUUCUAUAAAUAAGCUACGAAUUGUUGUGCAUCGUAUAUUUUGGAAGCUAAAGAAUUAGAAGAGGUGUUAAAAAUGAGUUCUAGGCAAGAAAGAAGUUGGAUGUACAACCGACAAAAAAAUAAAAAGUUUAGUUUAAGAUUUAUGAGAGGGUUGGAAGAGUUUUUAGAAUUUGCUCGUACACAAACCAUGAGUUCUGAGAUUAGAUGUCCUUGUAAAAAGUGUAAAAAUUGUUGUUAUAAGGAACCAGAUGAAAUAAGAGAAUAUCUAAUGAGAAUGGGGUUUGUUGAAAAUUACUAUAAGUGGUAAUAUCAUCAGAACACAGCGAUAGGAGAAGAAAUAGUAAGGGUGAUAAGGUUUCGCGGAAACAAUUUCAUUAUUUCCUCCUAGGCCCCAGAAUACAAAGAUUGUAUGCUUCAGAGGCAACAGCUAGGCAUAUGAGGUGGCAUGCAGAGCACCGCACUAAGGAUGGAGAGAUGAUACAUCCGUCCGAUGUUGAAGCGUGGUUCACAUUUAACGACAUACAUCCAGACUUUGCAUUGGAGACUCGAAACGUGCGGCUUGGUCUGUGUACAAAUGGUUUUAACACUUUUGGAAGUUCGGGUCAACAGUAUUCAUCGUGGCCUGUCAUUUUAACACCAUACAAUCUUCCGCCAUGAAUGUGCAUGAAGAAGCCGUAUAUGUUCUUGACCGUGAUUGUAUAUUCUUCAACCACUAAUACAAGAGCUGAAUAUGUUGUGGGAGGAGGGUAUUUGUACAUUUGAUGUGUCAAGAAAGGAGAAUUUCCAACUACGAGCAGCUUUAAUGUGGACGAUCAAUGACUUUUCGGCUUAUUCGAUGUUGUCCGGGUGGAGUACUGCGGGCCGAUAUGCUUGCCCUUACUGCAUGGAUGAUUCCCAAGCCUUCUACCUUACGCAUAGUAAGAAGGUGUGUUGGUUUGACUGUCAUAGAAGGUUUUUAGAUAAAAGUCAUCCUUAUAGGAGAAAUAGAGCAAAUUUCAGAGCAGGCAUUGUUGAGAAAAGAGACCCAUCUAUUAUUCGGACAGGACUUGAAUUGCUUGAUGAAUUAGACCAGUUUGGUUUUUUGAGAGUCAAUGAAGAUGUACCGAAACAUAAUAAAGAGGUUAGUAAGUACUCUGCUGGAUGGAAGAAGAGGAGCAUAUUCUGGGAUUUGCUAUAUUGAAAAACUAACAUGAUUCGACAUAAUUUGGAUGUUAUGCACAUAAAGAAGAAUGUUUUUGAUAACAUUUUCAACACUUUGUUUUGUGUGCCAAGUAAAACAAAGGAUCACAUCAAGGGUAGACACGAUCUGCGUGAACUUGGUAUACGUUCAGAAUUGCAUUCUAUAGGUUCGUGUAUUCUCAAACCUUUAUAGAAUUAAUAAUUAAUAAUUUCAUGUAACAUGUUAUUAUGAUUAGAUACAGGUACGUCUAUUCCUAAAGCUUCCUAUACGUUAAAUGGACAAUAGAUAUGUGCUUUGCUUCAAUGGUUUAAGAGUAUUAGAUUUCCCGAUGGUUAUGUGUCAAAUAUGGCAAGGAAUAUUGACAUGACCAAGCAUCAAUUGUUUGGCAUAAAAAAUCACGACUGUCAUGUUUUCAUGCAACGCUUAAUUCCAAUUGCAUUCAGAGAAUUGCUACCGGUGAAGGUUUGGGAAGCUCUUACCGAUUGAGCUUAUAUUUUAGAAGUUUGACAACCACAAAGCUAUGUGUGGAGGAUUUGAGGAAGAUGGAAGCAGAUAUUCCGGUUAUCAUCUGCAAACUAGAGAUUAUCUUUCCGCCCACAUUCUUUGAUAGCAUCGAACACCUUCCUAUCCAUUUGGCAUAUGAGGUUAGAAUUGCAGGAUCGGUUUAACACAGAUGGAUGUAUCCAUUUGAGAGGUACCUUACACAUUUGAAACUGAAUGUGAAAAAUAAAGCUCAUGUUGAAGCGUCGAUAUGCAACGCAUAUUUAACCGAGGAAGCAUCGCAUUUUGUUUCCCAUUAUUUUGAGCCACAUGUGCGAUGCAUGGUCAGAGACCUUCCUAAGAAUGACGAUGAAAGUUACAACAAUAUUGUAACUGGUGUAUUCACAAUCUUCAGUCAUCCAAUAAGAUUUCAUGGAAAAGGAAAAGCAUAUAUUUUGGAUGAAAGAGAUUACUAGAUUGCACAUAGAUACGUGCUAAUGAACUGUCCAUAGGUGGAUGUAUUUGUAUCUGAGUUUAAAAGUUCAAUUCAAAGACAUCAAUCGAAUUGGUCAAGUCAGAGGAUUGAAACGUUUGUGCAAGAGAAUUUCACAAAUACGUUCAGAACUGUAGCAAGACAAGGAUCAUUCGAUAACCGAAUGAACAGUGAAAUUUUGAAGCAGAUGGCUGAAGGACCACUUAAACAUGCUCGGAGUUACAAUGUCUGUUACACAAACGGAUAUAGAUUCCAUACAGUACGUCAUGCAUCAAAUAAAUUCGCAGACAAUAAUGGAGUGUGCGUCAAAGCUGCUGACAACAGUCGUGAUGAAGAAGAUUUUUACGGUCAAAUGCUUGAAAUCGUAGAGAUUGAAUACCCGGGGAUACCUAUCAAAAGAGUAACGUUGUUCAAAUGUCAUUGGUAUGACCCAACUACUACUGGAAAUAGCCGCGGAACAAAUAUUCAUAAACGAUAUAAGUUAGUUGACAUACAUCAAGGUCGCUCGUAUCGUUUAUAUGAUCCCUUUGUGUUGGCAAGUCAAGCAUGUCAAGUAUAUUAUUUUUCAUAUCCGAGUACAAGACAUAAUUUAAAAGAUUGGAGAGCGGUUUGCAAAGUCAAACAAAUUAAAUUUGACAAAGAAGUAGAAAAAGAAUCCAAAGAUGCUGCUUUCCAAGAAGAAAAUAGGGACCGUAUUGAAAUUGAAGAAGAUGUUUCCCAAACACCGCUUCUUGAUCCAUCUGGCGAAAUUGUUCAACGGGUGCAUGAUAAUGAUGAAGAUACUGAUAAGGAUGUGGAUCUUGUAUUGUCAGAAAACAAACAAUCCGAAGAUGAAGAUGUUGAGAACGACGACUAUUUUAGUGAUGAAGAUUAAUUUAAUUUUUUAUAUGUAAUUAUUUAAUAUUUUGUAAUAUUUAAUACAAUUUAAUUAUAAUCUUCCGAAUUAUUAAUAUUUUGUAGUAAUAA